rnacentral:rRNA from 1 species
UACGUAGGGGGCGAGCGUUGUCCGGAUUCAUUGGGCGUAAAGAGCUCGUAGGCGGUUUGGCAAGUCAGGUGUGAAAUCUCCGGGCUCAACUCGGAGAGGCCACCUGAUACUGCUAUGACUAGAGUCCGGUAGGGGACCAUGGAAUUCCUGGUGUAGCGGUGAAAUGCGCAGAUAUCGAGAGGAACACCUGCGGCGAAGGCGGGUUGCUGGGCUGACACUGACGCUGAGGCGCGAAAGCUAGGGGAGCGAACGGG